CGUGGGGAGCCGGGCCGGCAGGGCUGGACGGGCCUUUCUCCUGCGGCGCGAGGACGUUCUGCCUCCAGGUCCAUGUCGGAACGUCCACUUGUCCGGGGACGUCCACCCCGUGCCCGGGCUCCCGCCCUCUCCCCGCCGAUCCGCGCCGAAAGCCCUGCGCCGAGCGGCGAUUCGGCUUGUGCAGCGGCUUUGUCGCUCCCCGUCCGCUUCUGCAAUCUCGACGCGUCCCCGCACCCCAGUUCGGGUGCUCAGUGGAUGUGCUGCAUGAACUGUGAGGGGAGUAACGGAGAAGGCGAGCCGGAUUCAUUUGUCCCUAUAUCCCCUACACGUCCCUGCUUUUGACCUCCCUCCCAGCACGUGCCUUGUUUUCUACAGUGGAUGCUUUCUUGAAAAAUUAUAUAAAUUGGGACAUGUAUGGAACAUGCUUGUGUAAUUAGUAUUUACAGGGAUAUAAAUGCUUUUGUAAAUAGGAAUGAUCUCCCCCCCGAACUGAGUGUUUGGAUGAUGAAGUUGUCUUAAAGGGGCACACGUUCAUUCUGUUCCCUCACAGUCCUGCUUUUCUGUCGAGGUCUUGUGGCCUUGUGCUUCUAUCACAGACUUUGGAGCUACAGCUAAUAUUAUCGGAGAGGUGAUCAGCAUUAACCACAUGUGGCUGUUUAAAAUAAAGUUAAAUAAAAUUAAA